AACCUCUUCACAAAACACACAUAACCCUAACCCCUCCUCCACAACCCUUCUUCUUCCCUGCCACCGCCACCACCUCUCCUCCCACAUCACCACCGCCACCACCUCUCCUCCCACAUCACCACCGCCACCACCUCUCCUCCCACAGACCCGUCGUGUUGACGCCACCACCACUCCUCCCCCAAACCGCCGCCGUCUUGCACCUGUAUCACCAUCUUCAACCUCCCCUGUCCACCUUCCACAACUUGCAAGCCCUUUUAAUAAAUUUCUUAUUGCUGGAAAAGUGAAUGUGUGGUGUGGCUGGAGUUGGGAUUGGAGAAUUAACUCAAAAAUGGAAGGUUCAAGACCACAGUUGUCGGCAACUACAACAGUUGCAAAUUAAUUCAAAAAAGGUAGGUUCACACCAUCCUUCAUUGAUUUGUCUAAAAAUGAUAAAAGGGCUGAUUGCUGGUGGAGCUUUAAUUUAAUGGCAAAGCUUUGUUGGAUAGAGGGGUUGUCUGUAUUCGGAUCUAGUUCAGAUGUUUGACGACUGAAGUCCGUAUUCGUUUUUGCUCAGUGGUGUUGCUAUUGGUGAUACAGGUCUCUAGGAAAGUCAUAAACAUGGCAGAACUGCGACGACUUGCUUCCCUCGGAAUUUCUGAUUCUGCUGCCAUUCGUUCAACUGUAUGGAAGCUCACAAACACUUGAUACUUUUUUUCCUGCGUUAAGGGUAUAAGGAGUGGUUAAACACUUUAAAGUGGCAAACCAAAAAACUGACCAAUGAGAGCGCGCCAUGUCAAUUAGGCAAAAGUGUUUAAACUUUGGUGAAAAAUGUUGGCAAUGGUUUAAACACUUGGUGAAGUGGUAAACUAUUUUUUUAAAAAAAAAGGAAAAAGGUAUGAUUGGUUGAGAUAGGAAUGGACCUCACCCACAAUACCCUCCCUCUCUCUCCUUCUCCCUCUUGCCGAAUCGGUGUUCCAUCACCGAUUUACCCAACCAUUUCGGCAAACUAUAUAUUGGUGGUGGUGUUACCGAGUGGCAAAGUGGUUUGCCACCGUAUGCCCUAACCAACCCUAGGAAGGAAGGAAUUUGCAUCAUUUGGUUGUCAGUCACAGAAUGAAAGCUCUUCUUCGUGUGCUCUUCUCAAAACCCUCUCCCGCCAAAAAGCCUUCUUCAUUCAUCGAUGAACCCCAGUUCAUCUCUCUCAUCCACUCCUCCAAAUCCAUCCAGCAAAUCCAUGCCCAAAUCAUCCUCCACCACCAGUUUUCUAACUCCUGAAUCGUCACCCAGCUCAUUUCCUCUUUUUCUUUCAAAAACAACUUCACCAAUCACGCUCUCUCCAUCUUCCGCCACUUCAAAAACCCUAAUUUAUACAUUUUCAACUCACUAAUUCGUGCACUUGCUGAUCAUUCCUACUAUAUGACCUCAAUUUCUUACUUUGUUCUCAUGUUGAGCUCGAAUAUCAGGCCCGCCAAUUUAACUUUCCCGUUUGUUUUGAAAUCCACAGCCGCAUUACAAGAGGGAUGGCUUGGUAUGGAGAUUCAAACUCAGAUUUUGAAGCUGGGUUUACUAUGCGAUCGGCUUGUUUUACUUCAUUUGGUGGAUAUGUAUGCUAAAGUUGGUUUACUGGAGUGUGCAUGCCAACUGUUUGAUGAAAGUUCUCAAUGGGGGGGAUGACGCAAGAAGUACAUUAUUAUGGAAUGUUUUAAUUAAUGGGUAUUGUAAGGUUGGGAAAUGGGGUAAGGCUGUGGAAUUGUUUGAGGUAAUGCCGGAGAAAUAUGGUUCUACCUGGAGCACUUUGAUUAAUGGAUUAAUGAAAGCCGGUGAGAUUGACCGGGCUAUGGAGCUUUGGCGUUCCGUAGAGGAAAGGGAUGUGGUUUGUUGGACUACAAUGAUAAAUGGGUUUUCACAAAAUGGGCAGCAUGAACAGGCGCUAUCAAUGUUCUUUGAAAUGUUGGAAGAGGGUGUCAAUAGAUCCCGAUUUUGUCAUCUGGGGGGCACUAUUCAGUGCUUGCCGCACACACAAGAACAUUCAAAUGGCAGAAUAUGCAUCAGAGAAGCUUCUUUCAAAUGUUUAUGCAGGGGCAGGCAAGUGGGAAGAUGUAGAAAGGGUGAGGACCAAAAUGAAAAAUAAAGGUGUAGCAAAAGAUCCCGGUUGGAGUUACAUGGUCAAGUCACUAGUUUCGUAGCUAGCUGGUGAUCAUUUUCAGAUGAAAUUCAUUUAAAAUUAGAUGAAAAAUGCAAGAGAAUUUGGCUGAAACUGAGUGGGUGCUUCAUAAUAUAAUAUUGAAGAAGAAGAAGAAAAAGAAGAAUCUUUGGGAAGUCAACUGGCACUCGCUUUUGCCCUAAUAAUCUCUGGUGAUGAUUUAAAGGAUUGUGAAAAAUUUAAAAAUUUGUGGGGAUUGUCGUCACUCUUUAAUGAAGCAUGCUAGCUAGCAAAAUGACCAAGAGUACGGGAUAUAAACCGUUUUCAUCAUUUUAAAAAAUGGAAGUUGCUCGUGUCAAGAUUAUUGGUAACAGACAAUGUUUAUGUAUUAACACUAGGUGAUGAAAACAAAAGCUGAAUGCAUCCAGGAAAGACUGCAAUCAUGUUCUAAUCAAAGACUGUUCCAGAAAUAUCUCAUGAGUAGAUUCUUUUUCUUGCAGACAGCAAGUAAUUUAAAAAAAUGGUAUUAACAUUAUAUUAAGACAGGAUGAUGUUACACAAUGGAUUAGUCAAUGGAGGAUUAAUGCUACCCAAAUGAAUUUCAGAAGGGCAAUGCUCAAGUGGAUAUCAAAUUAUCAAUUAUAUCAUAAGGUCAGGAAUUCAUUUUCAUGGCUAGCUUAUAGAAAGUUUGUAGCAUUCCUCUUUUGUAUUAAAAAAAAAGGAAAGGAAGAUUGGUGUUUUGUUUUAACUUGAGAUCAUUGGUUCAUAAUCCUUACUAAUCUAUAGCUUCUAUUGCAUGAGGUAUUGAUGGUUCCUUGAGAUUUGGCAAAUCAUUGGCCAUAGUGGGAUUUAGUGAUAUUUAAUUGUUAGUGCGAUCACUCUAUGUCAAGUUCGGACAUAUUCAACAAAAGACUAAUGGUCAAUGCAUGGUCCAUGUGGAAAAGUCUUAAGCCAUGUGGAAAAGCCAUAUGAAGCCGUGUGGAAACAUCUCAAGCCAUGUUAAGACGUCUCAACUAAGACUUCUGAGACGUUUCAGCGUUGUCGGACACGUGGCAGCCAGUGAUUGGUCCAUUGUCAAGACGUUUCAGCAACGUGGUAGCGUCUCUACAAGACGUUUCCUUUGGCUAGUUUCGAAAUGUUGACCAAUUCUUGGCUAGUUUCAAGAUUUCCCCUAUUUAAAUUCUCAAUAACCAUAGGAAAUAAUUUCUUUUUGGAUUCAGUUAUGGAUGUCCAAAGGUUAACAUUUACAAGCAACCACCUUUCAAUCUUUAGACUUGCGUUAUGUCAUCAGCGUGGCCCUUAUUAAUCCAUUUACUUACGAAUGAGUUGAUUUGGGUUUUGUUUGAUCUUUAAUUGGUCCAACAAUAAAAGAAAAUGUCAGCUGAAAAGCCAUAUGGGUCAAACAGGUCCUAAAGUGUAUACCUAUUACAUAAAACCUCAAUUUGGUGAUCUA